UACGGGGGGGGCAAGCGUUGUUCGGAAUUACUGGGCGUAAAGGGCUCGUAGGUGGCCAACUAAGUCAGACGUGAAAUCCCUCAGCUUAACUGGGGAACUGCGUCUGAUACUGGAUGGCUUGAGUUUGGGAGAGGGAUGCGGAAUUCCAGGUGUAGCGGUGAAAUGCGUAGAUAUCUGGAGGAACACCGGUGGCGAAGGCGGCGUUCUGGACUGCAACUGACACUGAGGAACGAAAGCCAGGGGAGCAAACGGG
rnacentral:rRNA from 1 species